ACCAGCUCUCCCUGCCAGCAGGGAGCGGGUUGGUAACGUGGUCUUAUUUACAGACACAUUUGUAAAACAAGAGUGUCCAGAAGAGGGCCACGCAGUUGAUGAAGGGUUUGGAGGAGAAGCCGUAUGAGGAGCAGAUAUCCUGUCUCUGCAAGCUGACAGAGUACAUUUGGAGUCUGGCAGCUACUUCACAGAAAAAAAGACACACUACAAAAGAUGCAGAAUUAAAACAGGUCACGGAAAAGACUAGAUCUCAUCGCUGAUAGUAAGUAUUGCACAGAGUGGAGACUAUGAUAAGAGCUUCAAAAUAAACUGGGAAGUGAUGGUGAUCACUUCAACUUUCUCC